GACGAACGCUGGCGGCGUGCUUAACACAUGCAAGUCGAACGGAAAGGCCUGCUUUCCCUUGUGGAUUGCGGGUACUCGAGUGGCGAACGGGUGAGUAACACGUGAGUGAUCUGCCCCCAACUUGGGUAUAAGCCUGGGAAACUGGGUCUAAUUCCCGAUAGGACUGCAGGGUGGUGCCUGUGGUGGAAAACGAUUUUCUAGUGGUUGGGGAUGAGCUCGCGGCCUAUCAGCUUGUUGGUGGGGUAAUGGCCUACCAAGGCGGCGACGGGUAGCCGGCCUGAGAGGGUGGACGGGCACAUUGGGACUGGGAUACGGCCCAGACUCCUACGGGAGGCAGCAGUGGGGAAUAUUGCGCAAUGGGCGGAAGCCUGAUGCAGCGACGCCGCGUGGGGGAUGACGGCCUUCGGGUUGUAAGCUCCUUUCGACCGCGAGGAAGCCACCUGGUUGGAAGGGUGGUGACGGUAGUGGUAGAAGAAGCACCGGCUAACUACGUG
rnacentral:rRNA from 1 species